UUUUGUUUGUUUGUUUGUUUGUUUUCUCUGUCGCCCAGGCUGGAGUACAGUAGUGCAAUCUCGGCUCACUGCAACCUCUGCCUCCUGGGUUCAAGCAAUUAUCCUGCCUCAGCCUCCCAAGUAGCUGGGACUACAGGUGCACGCCACCACAUCCAGCUGAUUUUUGUAAUUUUAGUAGAGAUGAGGUUUCACCAUAUUGGUCAGGCUGGUCUCAAACUCCUGACCUCAGGUGAUUCACCUGCCUUGGCCUCUCAAAGUGCUGGGAAUACAGGCGUGAGCUACCACACCGGGCUCAGAUUUGUGAUCUUUAAGGGUCCUGUGAACUCAGCACUCUAGACAUUUUAGGGCCUGUGCACUUCCGCGGUAAUGGUUUCUUGUUUUGUCCUCACUCGGAGGGCACACUCCUCAGGCUAGUGGCAUGGGCCAUUGUCCUAGAGUCCCUGGGGCCCGGCCCUACCAUGAAUUCUGCGUCUCUCCCUUCAGCCCUUGUCCCUCCCUCCGUGCCAUGGCUUGGCACCGUUCUUGUCUUUGCAACCCUCCACAGGCGCCUCCUCCUCUGACCCUUCAAACCUUCCUGCCCUCAAACUCUGUCUCCCUACACCUCCCUGCCUUCCACUCUAUGUUUCUGCCUUCUCCUUCAGCCCACAGAUAUUACUGACCAUGGUUGCCAGCCCUAUGUUAGGCCUGGGAAUUCAAGAGAGAAUUAGAGCCCUCUGUGGACUCCCAGCUCUACUAGGGAGAGAGACCCACAAAUAGGGAUAGAGAGGGGUAAAUGCUUCAGUGGGUGAGUACAGGGCCUGCAAGGCCACUCAGCUCAGACUGAGGGGGUCAGAGAGAGCUUCCUGGAGGAGGCAGUAUCUGAAGUGAGAAGCGGAGGGAAGUCCACCAGGCACACACAGCAGGUCGGCGAGAGUGCCGCAGGCUGAGGAUGCGGCAUAUGUGAAGGCCCAAGGAAAAGCAGAGCACGCAGCAUGCAGGCCCUGGAGGGGUGAGGCUGCACCUGGGGAGGUCUCAUCCCAAGGCUGACAGCAGGUUUAGGGUCUGGAAACGCCACAUGCCCUGCUGUCUCCCUGGCUGUUCAACUCCUUCCAGGCCUGACAUUCACCAGCUCCUUGAAGACAAGAUCAUGCAGAUACUUUUCAGCACACACAUCUGGUCUCCCCGGCAAGUGCCCAGCUCUGGGCCUGUACCCUCCCAGCAGCACCACACAAGAUGGCCGACCUGAGCUCAUCAACUGCUCACUGGGGUCCCUCCCCUGACCCUAACCCUGCUUCAGUCACCCAGGAUGUGGGAGGCACUGCUGGUGUUUGGGCCAGAGACCAGGACGGCCGAACAUCCUGCAAUGCUCAGAGCCGCCCUUUGGAACAACAACAACAAAAAAACUGUCCAAAGUAUUCUGAUUUUCAAAUGUCCCUUCUGUAGCGUCCCCUAGUUUGUCCCACUUUCUUUCCGUGUCCUGACCGAAAAUCUAGAGUGCCUUGACUGUUUCAUGACCCAACCAGCUGCAGGGCUUCCCAGCAGGCUUGAACCCAAACCAGGGCCUCGAACAUUCCCAGGCACUGAUAAAGAAGUCUAGGUUAUUGCCCAAAACCCUGAACAAAACUGGCCCCAGGCUUGAGCCCAAUUCCUUAAAGCCUCAGAAAAAUUCCACACCCUGACCUCAUGGCUGUGGACACACCUAGGUGGACCUCCCUUUCUCUCCUGGCUGCCUGAGGAUGUGCACGGCCCUGUGGAAGUGAGCUCCCCUAAUAAAAG
rnacentral:lncRNA from 1 species